CACGGGGAAGGAUGAGAAGCUUCGACCAAGGUUCGACUCGAGCGAAGCGAGAGAACGUUGCCGCAGGCAAUGGCCCGAAGGCGAGGCGCUUUAGCGCCGAGUAAUCCUUACCCCACCAC
rnacentral:sRNA from 1 species